rnacentral:misc_RNA from 1 species
AUCGUUCUUCGAUCAUUCUCCCAUUGUCAGGUCUUAAGCAAUUCUAUGAAAUAGUAGGACAUUUUGUGGAGAUCACCAAAGACAGGAUUGAAGGAAUGACAGGUGUGAAUGUUCGAACCGUGGAUCCGCCUCAGAGAUGAACGAUAUGGCCCGGGGGGUUGUGGUUAUUCCUUUUAGUGUUUGUGUAGAUGUACACGCACACAUGUGUUCAAGUAGGGUUCAAACAAAUUGUGGUCAGUGUGGUUUGAUA